rnacentral:rRNA from 1 species
ACGGCUCAGUAACACGUGGACAACCUACCCUCCGGACGGGUAUAAACCCGGGAAACUGGGUAUAAUCCCCGAUAGAUCUCGGUCGCUGGAAAGCCCCGAGAUCGAAAGCUCCGGCGCCAGAGGAUGGGUCUGCGGCCUAUCAGGUAGUAGUGGGUGUAGCGUACCUACUAGCNUACGACGGGUACGGGUUGUGAGAGCAAGAGCCCGGAGAUGGAUUCUGAGACACGAAUCCAGGCCCUACGGGGUGCAGCAGGCGCGAAAACUUUACAAUGCCGGCAACGGCGAUAAGGGGACCUCGAGUGCCAGGUUACAAAUCUGGCUGUCAUGAUGCCUAAAAAGCAUUGCAUAGCAAGGGCCGGGCAAGACCGGUGCCAGCCGCCGCGGUAACACCGGCGGCUCGAGUGGUAACCGUUAUUAUUGGGUCUAAAGGGUCUGUAGCCGGCCAGAUAAGUCUCUUGAGAAAUCCAGCAGCUCAACUGUUGGGCUUUCAGGAGAUACUGUCUGGCUCGAGGCCGGGAGAGGUGAGAGGUACUUCAGGGGUAGGGGUGAAAUCUUGUAAUCCUUGAAGGACCACCAGUGGCGAAGGCGUCUCACCAGAACGGACCUGACGGCAAGGGACGAAAGCUAGGGGCACGAACCGGAUUAGAUACCCGGGUAGUCCUAGCCGUAAACGAUACUCGCUAGGUGUCGGCCACGGUGCGACCGUUGUCGGUGCCGUAGGGAAGCCGUGAAGCGAGCCACCUGGGAAGUACGGCCGCAAGGCUGAAACUUAAAGGAAUUGGCGGGGGAGCAC